UACACAUCGAAGGGCUUCACGCGAACCACGUGGCAUGAUAACGUCAUCACACACACACUCUCUCUUCUUCGCAGUAGUCACUUUAUUACUUCAUCUCUUUGCUUCCGAGAGAAUCACAGAUCUCUCGUUGCCUUAUCUCACUCUUCAGAUUCCCAAUCUCAAAACCCUAAUUCCCAAAUCUCGCUUAGAAAUAAGAGAAGAAAAUCAUCAUCGAAGUGGAUCAUACACGUACCAUGUAAGAUUAGAUCUCUGAUGGUUGGGUGAAACAGAAAAAAAAAAUGGAUGAGAUGCAGAGAAGAGAACCGAGAAGGGUGUGGUUAUGUUUACAAAACACAAUAGUGAUCCUCGUGGGUGGAAACCAUACCUCCUCCAGGUUUUGCACUCGCUAAAUCCUUCUUCCUAAACUGAAUCUCUCUACUUCCAUUGAAUCUCUCUUUCUGAGUAAAAGAUCCGAUUCUUGUUUUAACUUUUGGAUUCCUCUUCUCUUCUUCUUCCUCGCCAUGGGCGUUGAGCUGAAACUAACGCCCACCUCCUUCCGUAGGCGCGUGAUCCUACGCGCUCUCGUGAUCGUUUUCGCUUUCUCCGUCGUAUCCAUCAUACGAAACCUCAACGGAGCAUACCAAGGAGAGACUCACCUCCACCACCGCCCGCGUAAGGUCGAUGAUUGCGCGGUGAACUUCGCGUUCCUCGGUCCGUUCCUCUUCUCCGGCAACGGCUUCCUCUCCAACACCUUCCUUAAGCCAGUUUGGAGCUUUAUAGAGUCGGACAAGUGUAAGACGAACAUCGACUUGACUACUCAAGUCGUCGCCGAGCUUAAAGGUUUGAACUUGCUGAGUAACGACGCGAGAGCUCUCUGUAUUGGCCGGAGUUCGGUUUCAGCUCUUCUCGCUAUGAACCUACAAGGGAUCUCUGAUGCUCGCGUGAGCCACGCGCCGCCUGUUUUUGCUUUCAAGCACAGGAAGUUCACUAGUGAGCUACGUUAUGAUGAUGCUUCUUUCGGGUUUGUCUUUUCUAUGGAUCUUGAGACGGUUUUAGUCCCUGCUUCACUUGUUUACGAAAUCGAGCGUGUGCUUAGCCCGGUGGAACCGGAGCUAUGCUUGUUGGGUCUGACUCUAACGGGUUGGUUAGAUCCGUCCUCGCCUGUUUCUUCUCUGCUCAAGAACUCGAGUGUUGUUCAUGUGCUUCCUUAGGUGAGCAGGUUUUGAUUGUGUUCAGGAGACAUGGUGAAGAUAGUUUCGGUUUGGAUCAGUCUCAUCAUGUUGCUUCCUUAGGUGAUAAUCAACAUGAAGAGCGAAGAGUUAGGAUGAACAAGAACCAGUGUCGAAAGCUUAGCACUAAUACCUAUGCGAUACCAAUAGCAUAG